AUCCCAUGGUGAGGGCAAUUCUUGAUCAUCAUGUUGAACCGCUCAAAGGCCUCAUGAAACAUCUCACCUUGUAGUUGUUGGAAACUUCUCAACCCUUUUCUAGCAU
rnacentral:snoRNA from 1 species